GAUAAUAUAUUUCUUUACUAUAACCACACAGCAGAAAAUGUUUGUGGAAAAUUCACAGAACGUUCAUAUGACUUUCAGGGUACUUUCUUAGGGUAGACAUUACGAAUAUUGCUAUAUUUAAAGAUAUAUUACGAUAAAUCUGUGCAUCUUUUAUAAGUCUAUUUCGAUUUAAGUAUACAAUCACAUGAUCAAAAUUCAUUAUUUCACGGAAGAUGAGACGAAGUGAAUGUAACUUUAAUGAGUACAGUUAGGUCUGUUCCGGUAGACGAACAAUAAGGCUGGGAUGAUAAGACACUGUGCAUUUCUUGCCCCUCACUUAAAAACGUGUAAUAGUAGAUAUAUAUAUUUCGAAGAGUUAUAAGAGCGUAAAAAAAGUAUUUUUGUAGAUGAGCAUGCGUGGAAGUUCUUGAAUACCAACAGAACCUGACUCUGAACUCUUGCUGGGCGCAUGCGUCUAUACGGUUGGUCAUAGAUCGAUACGGCUAUAUUCAACAAAUCGUGAGGGAAGAGUAACAAACUUAUCCUAGAUAUAAUACCACGUGUUUCUGAGAGCUAAAACUUUUACGUUAACAGUAUCCGCUAAUGAUCAAUUAGCCCACGUCCAAGACAUCCAUUAAACAGGAGCAUCCCACCAGGAAUACAAAUUAGCCACGUGCCAGCAACCAUUCAAAAGCAUCACGAGAUGGAUAAACCCUUGGAGGCAUGCAGCUGCAGUCUCUGAUCGUGCAGGUGAAAAUACGUAGAGCAGAUGUACCACCUUUGUACGCGAAGCACGUGGCAAGAAGUAUUUAAGACACUGACCUAAUAAAGCGCAAUAGGAUUGCCAUUGGAUUACGUAUCUGCUUCUGUGGAAUUUACCAUCGAUUCUCGUGGUAAAUUAACUAGUGGCAUGCAAUGCCAAUCGGAUUGAAUGAAAUCGAUCGAAGCACGUUAUCGGCAUCCGGUAAAAAGCACGUAAACGUGAUGAAGAAAUAUGCCAUCUGAAGUGGAUGGAACUUUCAGCACCGAACAUCCAUUCUUCGUUCAAUUUUCAACCGCACUGUUAAAAUCUCAUUUGUACAUCAUACAGGUAAACUCAAACGUACAGAUGUGUAAUGUAUGUAAACGCAUGCGUACGGGCUUAUUACGUAAGGGAACACAUAUGUGGAUAUAUUUUUAAAAAGAUAAUGAAAAAAUAAAUACUUUAUAUGCUAUGAC